UCCAACACCUUCUCCUUCAUCUACAUUCCUUUUCUCUCCACUCAUCAACUCCAUGAUCAAAGAUUCAACCUUCUCUCUCUUCACAUCAUGUUCAAUAUCCAUGGCCAUGCCCCAAUGUUUUCAAACAUAGUGACCAUUUGUUUGUUGAUCCACAUAAUAAGCCCAACAUAACAUGGCCAUUCCUGCACUUAUGCUCUCUAUUGUCAAAUUCAACCCACUGUGUGCCAAGAAUCCUGUUGUAGAUUGGGUGGCAUAACACCUUCUCUUGUUAACACCAACUAGUUAUCAAUCCCCUCCCAUUCAUCUCUCUCAAGAUCUCUUCAAGGAGAAACAUCACUCUCUUGAUCACCCUUAACAAGGCCUUAUCUAUUAUCCAUAAGAAGUCAUGCUCACUAUCUACCAAUCCCCAUGCAAACUCUGUCAGUUGCUCUUUUGUUAGCAUUGCGAUAUAUCCAAAGUUGACAUAAAUGAAAGACUUUGGUAAAUUGUCAUCCAACCAUUCCAAACAAUUCACGUCCUCUUUCCAUAAGCUUAAACCGUAUUCAGAGAUCAAGGAAAGUGGCCCUAUUGUGUAGAUUGGAGGGGGGAGGGGGAGCAUCUCUGCCAUGGCUUCCAAAACAGUGCCUUCUAGAUCAUCAAAUGUGUUGAUGAUGAUGGCUGAGGUCUGGGAAACAUGAAGUUUAGAUAAGGAUCAUUUGGAUUAGUUGUUUUGACAAAACUUGGUAGAUCCUUCAGAUGAAUAUUCUUCAUUCCUGGUAUCCAAUCAAUAGAUGUGUCCAGUUGCUUUUGUUAAGGAAAUUCGAUGGCUGUGUUUUCUCCAGUGUCUGCAUGCAUAGGUGUAUCACACACCGAGUGUAGGACUUUUGCUGGUUGUUAAGUUGGUGUUCGGGUGAAAUUCGGAGUUUUGACUGGUAGUAGAUCAAGAGUGGUAGACCAGUGUGGACUUUGAAAAGCUAUCUAUAGGUCUACAAGGUUCACACCUGGGGGUCUGCUGCCGUUUGUCCGCUCACUGUGUUCGGGGUGUGAGAAUUUUCCUAAAUAUUCUAUAUUUAAUCAAGAGUCAAAACACAUUCAUAUAAUGUUCUUUGUAUGCAUGAACUUCUACUGUAUGUUCGGAUCAAGUAAUAUGGCAUGCACAUUCACAUUACUUGAGAAUUGAUAUCAUGCAGUAAU